AGGAAUUGUUUACUGAAGAGGUUUUUUGUGUGUUUUUUGUUGCUUUUGCCUGCUGCUCUGACUCUUCUGAGAUUAAGCUCUAAAUUUUGUGUCCAUCGGUAACUUGAGAUAGGCUGGUUGUCCUCCCCAGUCACGUGGUCAGCCUGAGCAUCCUUUGGCAGAUCCAGCAGGCUGCCUCGCGUGUCUCCAGUAAAGGUUAUAGAGUGAACCAGCCCCGCUGCUGCGUCCUAUAGUCGCCUCAUCUCCCGCUUCUAGCUCCUUCUCCUCUGUGCAGACUGCUCUGUGAAAACGCAGGUAAGUCCGCGAAAUGAUCCAUGCAAGCGUUACAGCGUUUAGUUUUGAGUGGGCAGCUACGCACCGUGGCAUCAGCGUGAUGCUGCGUGGAUAAUUGCCGUGCAGCAAAGACAUGCAUGUGCUUUGGCAAAGUAAAUGGCUGCUUAAUGCUGCGGAUUUAAUGCUUUCGCUCAAACUGAGACAUGCCAGCUUGCAAAGGAAGGCUGCAGAGUGAGUCCUCGCAGGUGCAGCGCUGUCUGCGGGUGCAGGGGCUGCUGGAGAGGCAGAUACGUCUUCAUUACUCAUUGUGCAGGUGGAGCAGCGUUCCUCCGAGUCGGAGGCGGUGGCGUUGUGCUCAUUGUAGUACGCUGAUAGUCGUUAUUGUUGUUUUAUCGCAGAAAGUAGCUCUAGUUGUCGCUCGCAGAAGAUCGGUGGCUCUGGAUUCUGUGAAAUAGUCCGACGUUCAAGUUCAAACAGUAGCUGGAGGUGGCGGUAAGGUCACAUAGUAAUGACUCAGCAACCGUCGUCUGCUGAGGAGAGUAAACUCGGGCUGCUUUUGGAAGAUUUCCAGGAACUGAAGGUUUAAAGAAGCUGCCUGUUUGUUCCCGUGGAAACCAGCGGAGUGGAGCAGGUUAUGCCACCCCAAAGGCUUCCUGGAUCCCCAGCAGUGAAAGAGAAGGGCUGAUCCCGUCCUCCUCCAGGUUCCUGCCGUGCAGCCCUUCUUUCCCUCUUUCUCUCUCCUGCUUAUUCCCCUCUCCCAAAGACACAAACCCUACCUGACCCCAACACCUAAACACUUUGACCUUUGUCACCCACUUCUUGGACCACUCUUGUUGGUCCAGUCACGUCCACCGCAUCAUCUUCCUCACAGCAAUUCCAUAGCCAGUCUCCCCUCAUUCCAGCCACACUAGUCCACUUCCCUGCGGGACCCUGCACGUUUUAGAGGUCUGCUCUACCCUCUGGCUGCUUGCCGGGCCCCAUGGCUACAGGAGGUCAUGCCCCUGACAUAGAUGUGUUAAUAAACCUACAGCAGGUAAGGGUGGAAGAGGAAGAUGAGGAUGG